GGGCCCGUAGCUCAGCCAGGUUAGAGCAUCCGGCUCAUAGGUAAAUUCUGGGAAACCGGACGGUCGAGGGUUCGAAUCCCUCCGGGCCCA
rnacentral:tRNA from 1 species